UACGUAGGGGGCAAGCGUUGUCCGGAUUUAUUGGGCGUAAAGAGCGUGUAGGCGGCCAGGUAGGUCCGUUGUGAAAACUCGAGGCUCAACCUCGAGACGCCGAUGGAAACCAUCUGGCUAGAGUCCGGAAGAGGAGAGUGGAAUUCCCGGUGUAGCGGUGAAAUGCGCAGAUAUCAGGAAGAACACCCGUGGCGAAGGCGGUUCUCUGGGACGGUACUGACGCUGAGACGCGAAAGCGUGGGGAGCGAACAGG
rnacentral:rRNA from 1 species